GGAUGGGUGGCCGAGCGGUUUAAGGCACCGGUCUUGAAAACCGGCGUGCGUGAGAGCGUACCGUGGGUUCGAAUCCCACCCCAUCCGCCA
rnacentral:tRNA from 2 species